CCUGUCCAUCCAUCGUUAAGACGAUAAUAACUAUAAACAUCCUACGUUCUUACACAGUUUUGUUGAUUUCUCCAAUGGCAAACCACAAAACGCAACAACCAACUAUCGACGACAACAAAUCAGCAGCAUGUUGUCAGCCGGUGACAAGAAACAAAGGAAACGGCAGGAACAGAAGCUUCCUUGAAGGAUGUCUCUUUGCUUUGUGUUGCUGCUGGCUUUGGGAUGCCUGCUUCGAUCUGUAGAAUAAGGAGCAGUCAAAUGGCAAUGUGGAAUUACAUCUAAAUUAUUAAUAUUAAUGUGUGUGUGUGUUUACGAUUACUUCUUUUUUAUACUUUAUUACAAAAGAAAUAGUAAUCUAGUUCUGUAAUGAACAUUUAAGCUACAAUUUUGUAUUUUUGUGCUUUGUAUUGCGAGAAAUAUUUACAUUAGUUAAAUAAAGAAUUUUUAUAAUAAAA